rnacentral:rRNA from 1 species
GACGAACGCUGGCGGCGUGCUUAACACAUGCAAGUCGAACGGAAAGGCCCUGCUUUUGUGGGGUGCUCGAGUGGCGAACGGGUGAGUAACACGUGAGUAACCUGCCCUUGACUUUGGGAUAACUUCAGGAAACUGGGGCUAAUACCGGAUAGGAGCUCCUGCUGCAUGGUGGGGGUUGGAAAGUUUCGGCGGUUGGGGAUGGACUCGCGGCUUAUCAGCUUGUUGGUGGUGUAGUGGCUUACCAAGGCUUUGACGGGUAGCCGGCCUGAGAGGGUGACCGGCCACAUUGGGACUGAGAUACGGCCCAGACUCCUACGGGAGGCAGCAGUGGGGAAUAUUGCACAAUGGGCGGAAGCCUGAUGCAGCAACGCCGCGUGCGGGAUGACGGCCUUCGGGUUGUAAACCGCUUUCGCCUGUGACGAAGCGUGAGUGACGGUAAUGGGUAAAGAAGCACCGGCUAACUACGUGCCAGCAGCCGCGGUGAUACGUAGGGUGCGAGCGUUGUCCGGAUUUAUUGGGCGUAAAGGGCUCGUAGGUGGUUGAUCGCGUCGGAAGUGUAAUCUUGGGGCUUAACCCUGAGCGUGCUUUCGAUACGGGUUGACUUGAGGAAGGUAGGGGAGAAUGGAAUUCCUGGUGGAGCGGUGGAAUGCGCAGAUAUCAGGAGGAACACCAGUGGCGAAGGCGGUUCUCUGGGCCUUUCCUGACGCUGAGGAGCGAAAGCGUGGGGAGCGAACAGGCUUAGAUACCCUGGUAGUCCACGCUGUAAACGGUGGGUACUAGGUGUGGGGUCCAUUCCACGGGUUCCGUGCCGUAGCUAACGCUUUAAGUACCCCGCCUGGGGAGUACGGCCGCAAGGCUAGAACUCAAAGGAAUUGACGGGGCCCCGCACAAGCGGCGGAGCAUGCGGAUUAAUUCGAUGCAACGCGUAGAACCUUACCUGGGUUUGACAUGGAUCGGGAGUGCUCAGAGAUGGGUGUGCCUCUUUUGGGGUCGGUUCACAGGUGGUGCAUGGCUGUCGUCAGCUCGUGUCGUGAGAUGUUGGGUUAAGUCCCGCAACGAGCGCAACCCUUGUUCACUGUUGCCAGCACGUUAUGGUGGGGACUCAGUGGAGACCGCCGGGGUCAACUCGGAGGAAGGUGGGGAUGACGUCAAGUCAUCAUGCCCCUUAUGUCCAGGGCUUCACGCAUGCUACAAUGGCUGGUACAGAGAGUGGCGAGCCUGUGAGGGUGAGCGAAUCUCGGAAAGCCGGUCUCAGUUCGGAUUGGGGUCUGCAACUCGACCUCAUGAAGUCGGAGUCGCUAGUAAUCGCAGAUCAGCAACGCUGCGGUGAAUACGUUCCCGGG